GGCGCCAUAGCCAAGUGGUAAGGCAGAGGUCUGCAAAACCUUUAUCCCCAGUUCGAAUCUGGGUGGUGCCUCCA
rnacentral:tRNA from 1 species